rnacentral:rRNA from 1 species
GACGAACGCUGGCGGCGUGCUUAACACAUGCAAGUCGAACGGUAAGGCCCCAGCUUGCUGGGGUACACGAGUGGCGAACGGGUGAGUAACACGUGGGUGACCUGCCCCGCACUUCGGGAUAAGCCUGGGAAACUGGGUCUAAUACCGGAUAGGACCGCACCGUGAGGGUGUGGUGGAAAGUUUUUCGGUGUGGGAUGGGCCCGCGGCCUAUCAGCUUGUUGGUGGGGUAAUGGCCUACCAAGGCGGCGACGGGUAGCCGCCCUGAGAGGGUGGACGGCCACAUUGGGACUGAGACACGGCCCAGACUCCUACGGGAGGCAGCAGUGGGGAAUAUUGCACAAUGGGCGGAAGCCUGAUGCAGCGACGCCGCGUGGGGGAUGACGGCCUUCGGGUUGUAAACUCCUUUCACCAUCGACGAAGGUUUUCUGACGGUAGAUGGAGAAGAAGCACCGGCUAACUACGUG